UUUAUACUAAUACUUACUCAUAUGUAACUAUUAGGAUUUCUAGGGAUCGGCUGCGGUGUAUAUACUCAGUCAUAUUACAAUUACAACACUGAUUAGGUAGGUAAUAAAUAAAAGCAAUAAUUAUCCUAAGAAUUAUCAAACGAUAACGGUACAGAUUUUGUUUUAAUUUUAGAAUUAGGAAACCAAAAUAUUUGCGAGAAUCAUUGAAUAAUAUACAAAACUUAACAUCUGUUUACAGUUUAAAAUUUUUGUCACCAGAUUUGCAAUGGAAAGGCAAUGCUCUUUAAGAGGAAAGUAUACAUAAAACCUUUAACUGCCAUGACCAUACCGAUAUGUCUUCGUUUUUUCAUAUACUUUCAUAUAAUAAAGGGAGUGGGAGUCUUCAUAAACUAGAAAUAACACCUAAUUUUGUAUACAUUUUCAGACACUUAUUUAAAAAAAUACGCUUAUUUAC